AACAAACGCUGGCGGCGUGCCUAAUACAUGCAAGUCGAACGGGGAAAGCUUUCGGGUGAGUACUAGUGGCGCACGGGUGAGGAACGCGUGGAUAAUCUGCCUUAGAGUGGGGGAUAACUAGUCGAAAGAUUAGCUAAUACCGCAUAAGACCACAGGAGCUGCGGCUCAAGGGGUCAAAGGUUUUUCGCUCUAAGAUGAGUCCGCGUAAGAUUAGCUAGUUGGUGAGGUAACGGCUCACCAAGGCGACGAUCUUUAACUGGUCUGAGAGGAUGAUCAGUCACACUGGAACUGAGACACGGUCCAGACUCCUACGGGAGGCAGCAGUAGGGAAUAUUGCACAAUGGAGGAAACUCUGAUGCAGCGACGCCGCGUGAGUGAUGAAGGCCUUCGGGUCGUAAAGCUCUGUCGCAGGGGAAUAACACAAUGAAGGUACCCUGUAAGAAAGGAUCGGCUAACUUCGUGCCAGCCGCCGCCGUAAAAC
rnacentral:rRNA from 1 species